AUAAGUUCAUAUCAAAGUAUUCCCGUGGCGACCAAUAUAAAAAAACAUGUGUGAAAUUGGAACAAAAUUUUUUAAAUUGAUUUGAUUGUCUGCGGAUAUUUAAUUACCCCCUCAGUUGUGUGUUACGGUUAUAGCCCCCGAGUACCUACUUGGCUAGGGGUCUCUCCAGCAUCGAGCCCCACAAGUUGGCGAGCAGCGCUCUGAAGCCUGACGUUUCUCUGUUUUGCACUGAGAAUCUUUGCCGCAGCAGCAAAAAAGCGCGCCGAAGCUGAUAGAAAAAAGACCCGAAGACCCAUGCCGAAGUC